rnacentral:rRNA from 1 species
UUGACGGGGACCCGCACAAGCAGCGAGCAUGUGGUUUAAUUCGAAGCAACGCGAAGAACCUUAUCAGGGCUUGACAUCCCCUGACCGCGUAUGAAAGUACGUUUUCACCUUCGGGAGACAGGGAGACAGGUGGUGCAUGGUUGUCGUCAGCUCGUGUCGUGAGAUGUUGGGUUAAGUCCCGCAACGAGCGCAACCCCUACGUUUAGUUGCUAACGCGUGAAGGCGAGCACUCUAGACGAACUGCCGUUGACAAAACGGAGGAAGGUGGGAUGACGUCAAAUCAUCAUGCCCCUUAUGUUCUGGGCUACACACGUGCUACAAUGGCCGGUACAGACGGACGCAAAGCCGCGAGGUGGAGCAAAUCCUAAAAAGCCGGUCUCAGUUCGGAUUGCAGGCUGCAAUUCGCCUGCAUGAAGUCGGAAUCGCUAGUAAUCGCAGGUCAGCAUACUGCGGUGAAUACGUUCCCGGGCCUU